rnacentral:lncRNA from 1 species
UACGUUGGAGCCGACGAGGGGACGUGGAUCAACGCUUGUAGGCUUCCUUGGAAGAUCCGAUGCUAUUGGAUGAUGAGCUCGUUUCUACUCUUCCGCUUCCAAAGAUGAAUCUUUCUAUUAGUUUCCUCAUUUGUUGAAGUAUAUACUAUAAUUUUUUAUAAAAAUGCAUUUGCUUUUUUAACAGACUAUUAGAUUUAUUACAAUUGUUCUCCUCAUGCUUUAGAAAGCAA